rnacentral:rRNA from 1 species
GUCAAGUCAUCAUGGCCCUUACGCCCAGGGCUACACACGUGCUACAAUGGCCAGGACAGAGGGCUGCGAGACCGCAAGGUGGAGCGAAUCCCAGAAACCUGGCCCAAGUUCGGAUUGCGGGCUGCAACUCGACCCCGUGAAGUCGGAGUCGCUAGUAAUCGCAGAUCAGCAACGCUGCGGUGAAUACGUUCCCGGGCCUU